rnacentral:misc_RNA from 1 species
GAAAUGCGAAACGUAUUGUGAACUGCCCUCUUUGAGAAUCAACGAAUUUUUGAACGCACCUUGCACCUGGGGGCAUGCGCCCGCAGGUAUACUUGUUUGAGCAUCGAACAUUGUCGAGCCACACAUGCGCGAUAGCGCGUGUGAGCGAGAAAGUGAUUGUUGGGGAGAAGCGUCGACCCGUCAAUUGAAAGGCAUGGAGGAUGAGCGAGGGCGGGCGUGGAAAUAGAGUCACAUCUGACACGCGUUGCUGGUUGUUCACCCCACAAGUACAAUACAUGCACUUACAUACUCAUACGUGUGUGUUUGUGUAUGUGCAUGUGCAACGAUCUCAAAUCAAGUAGGAAGACCCGCUGAACUUAA